CCUACGUGUGGCAGCAGUGGGGACUAUUGCGCAAUGGGCGAAAGCCUGACGCAGCGACGCCGCGUGAGGGAUGAAGGUUUUCGGAUCGUAAACCUCUGUCAGAAGGGAAGAAGUUGCAUGGGGCCAAUCAGCUGUGCAUUGACGGUACCUUCAAAGGAAGCACCGGCUACCUCCGGUCCAGCAGCCGCGAUAAUACGGAGGGUGCGAGCGUUUAUCGGCAUUAAUGGGCGGAAAGCGCACGUAGUCUGUAUGUCAGGUCACGGGUGAAAUCCCACGGCUCAACCGUGGAACUGACUUUGAAACUGGCAAACGGGAGGAUGUGAGAGGGCGGCGGAAUUCCUGGUGUAGGAGUGAAAUCCGUAGAUAUCAGGAGGAACAUCAGUGGCGAAGGCGGCCGCCUGGCACAAAACUGACGCUGAGGUGCGAAAGCGUGGGUAGCAAACAGGAUUAGAUACCCCAGUAGUC
rnacentral:rRNA from 1 species